CUCGCGCCUGCGAGCGGGCCCGUGAGGGUUGCUCGGAGCUGCUGACGGAUCUCGGGGACCGCAGCGCCCGGACGCCGGACACACUCUCCGGCCCGAGGACAAGGUUUGGGGGACAAGCAUGCAUUUUCGCACACUGGACUUUUUCUUACCGUUUUCCAAGUAUUAGUGGUUUCCUGCAAGACGCACUUUCCCGAAAUAGUGCGGUGCUUUAGCGUGACGUUCCUCCCGUGCCAAGCGAUGUAUUAAACUUGGACCUUCUAAGCUACCCCGUUCAUGAUCGCGCCAAGCUCUUCAUAGGCUCGUUAUACCGUGGCUCGUUAGCAGACAAACAAACAGCUAUCCUAAUUCCUUUGAGGAAAACUGGCCCGCGCAGACUCCCCAGAUGUCAAUUCGAAAAAUGUCGACCACCUUUUAUCUCCUCUCUUUGGAAAACCUUGCAACAGAAGGAGGACGGACCCCACCCAGAAACUGGUUCUGAUGUUGAGACGGAUGACGCCACCAUCACACCAGGUGGAGCACAGGCUCCGGACGCGCAGACUCAGUGGCCAUGGUUCACGGGCCCAGCCGCUCCGCGGCAUGUGGGAUCUUCCCGGACCGGGGCACGAACCCGUGUCCCCUGCAUCGGCAGGCGGACUCUCAACCACUGCGCCAUCAGGGAAGCCCAGGAUUUCUUAUAUAUUAAUCACUUGUUUGCAAAUAAAGACACUUUAACGUC